UAUACUUUUAUUUUCUCUCUCUUCUUCAUCUUCUAUGGAGGUUGCUCCCCUCGAAGGAGUCUGCUAACAAAAGAAUUACAGUACUUGGGGUUUGUUACAGAUUCCGGGAUGGAAAAUUCGGUGAUAGAGACAAUUGGUUUCGGUAACAAGUUGAUCGGUUCCAGACAAAAAGAAAGCACCGGGAUUCUAAAAUCCAGUUUUUGGGGUCCUGUAAUCUUCUAGCUGAAAGACCCGACGAUGAUCCAAACAACGGUACAUGGAAAUAUGGUUUCAGUCAGUGUCUAGCCAAUUUAAUUUGCUUUACCUUGGAAUUGCGAUAGCUUAUUAGCACAGGUCUUGUAUAUAAAUAAAGCCUUUUACAACAUGACAACGAUCAAUCCCUCUACUCCCAUGGGGUGCAAACAAAAGCUGACACUGCUACACAUUUGAAUGCGUCCAGGCUAUUUUCAUAAAGCAGGCCUUUCUCUGGCGGCAUUUAGUAAUGAGUAUUCCACUACCAGUUUUGUGGAUGUGUUUUAGGUAAAAUCAACGAGAAAUCCUAGACCUCUUCUUUAAUAUAUAUUAUUAUCUCCCCAUAGAAUUCUGGUUAUAAAGUUUCUUAUUUUCCCUGUAGGCCUUUUUCUGGAGUUUGGAUAAUUAUCAGCCACUCAAAUUAAAUAAGGAAAGUCGGUUAACUUAUCUGAUUAAUUUAUAAUGUAAAUUUUAUUCUCCCUCUCUUAUUCAAAUCUAUCUUAAAGAAAUGAUAAGAUUUUAGGGAGUAGGUCAUGCAUUCCUGAUGGUGUUGGUAUUUUUUAAUAAAUAUUAGUUGUAACGUUUGUUUAUUCAUGUCUAGUACUAAUGGUGUUUUUUGAAAUUCUUUUAAGCCAUUAAGGUUAGGAGUUACCUUGGAUUUAUUGUUGACCAUGAUUGAGUAUCUUUUAAAGUUGAUCAGUUUUUUUAAAAAAAUUAAAAAUUAUGGUUGAUAACGUUGGUCAAUGUGUAACCAUGCUCUUAAUUUCUUACUUUGCUUUCAACAGACUCUUUCAAACUCCAGAUGGUUUUUAUCUUUAAUUGUUUUUUGUAAUAUGUAUUAAUGUUGGCUUCUCAAUUAUUUUGGUGUCGUGUCUUUUUAUUCUUGUAAAUGAACGUUUUGUGUUUGGUGUUAAUCUGGAAUAUUAUCUCGUUUGUUUUCACAGAUGAAAUGAGAUGAAUUGAUAAGUUUUGUAAAAGUGAAGGAGUCGUCUUGUACGUGAGUGUCUAUUUUUCAAACAAAUAAUAAAAACCGAUUUUAUGGCUUCUUGUACGUUUCUAUCACAAAUUACUCAUAAUUCCUUGCUGCUUUAUUGAGGUUUUAAUUUCUAUAUUUGAAAAAGAUCAGCUAGAGGGUUUAACACGCAUGGCUGUUUUCAAGAGUCUAUUAUUUUGGGUACAAUAUAGAGGAGUUUGAAUAUAGAAAACAAAAAAAACAAAACAAAACAAAAGAAGUGUGUAUAUAUUUUUGAGAGAUUUUCUAGACAAUAGAGAUGUUCUUUCAGUGGAGCUUUGGGCUUAACUACUU